ensembl:lncRNA
AAAAAUCAUGCAAAGACUUUUUUCAAAGUUUGCAUGCGUGUGGGAGCACCAGAGACCCAAAACAUCCCAAAUCCCAGGAAAAGUGUUGUUUUCAUAAUAUGUCCCCUUUAAAUGAUUUAAACGUGUUGAAUUUUUCUGGUUUGCAUUGUAAGACUCUGAUGAUCCUUUCUGUGGCAAAUUCUAGAGGAUUGCAAAGGCAAGAAAAGUGCUCUUCCGAAGUUGAACCAGGUGGCCAACAACAGAGGGAGAGGAGAGCAGAGCCAAGGACGACAGAGCAGUCAGUCAGGCGAGCUCAAAAAGAUCCGUUUAGGAUUUGUGGAGAGAGUUUCAAUCUCACUUAUCAAAAGUCUCCUGGAUGAACUUUUGCAGAAGAAAAUGUUCACUACCGACGAUAAGGACUCUGUGAUUCAGGAUCAGACAAACAAAAAAGACCAGGCACGUUGUCUGAUCGACAUGGUGAUGGCAAAAGGAGAGAGAACAAGUCAGGUGAUGAUGGAUUGUAUGAAGGAGAGGGACCCUGAAUUAUGCAUCACCCUGGGUCUGAGCUCUACUCCUGCUGCUGGUGUAGCUGAGAUACUGCAGACGCAGUUUUGAGAAGAAGUAUUUGUCUCACACACACACACACACACACACACACACACACACACACACACACACACACACACACACACACACACACACACACACACACACACACACACACACACACACACACACA